GAUGAAGAACGUAGCGAAAUGCGAUAAGUAAUGUGAAUUGCAGAUUUCCAGUGAAUCAUCGAAUCUUUGAACGCACCUUGCGCUCUUUGGUAUUCCGAAGAGCAUGCCUGUUUGAGUGUCAUGAAAAUAUCAACCUUGACUUGGGUUUUGUGCUCUAGUCUCGGCUUGGAAUUGGGUGCUUGCCGCUUUUACGAGCGGCUCACCUUAAAUGUAUUAGCUGGAUCUGUCUUUGAGACUUGGUUUGACUUGGCGUAAUAAGUAUUUCGCUAAGGACAUUCUUCGGAGUGGCCUCGUUUCUAGGACGCUUGUCCGCUUUCCAAUACAAGUUCCACCUCGUGGACAUGACUUUUUAUUAUCUGGCCUCAAAUCAGGUAGGACUACCCGCUGAACUUAAGCAUAUCAAUAAGCGGAGGA
rnacentral:misc_RNA from 1 species